GGACGCUGGGAUCAUGACCUGAGCCGAAGGCAGCCGCUUAACCAGCUGAGCCACCCAGGCGUCCCAUCGCCUUUUCAUUUCAUCCUAAAUAUCUAUCAAGGUCCAGCUGCAGCCCCACCUCCUUCAUGGCUCUUCACCGUGUCACACAUGGCCCCUCACACACGUGUGCUCAUUCAGGCUUGUGUCCAUCUCACCAAUGGGAAGCAGACUCAGAGGCAUUUCAUGGCAAGCGCAAGGUCACAGUGCUGUUAGAUGGCAAAGAACUCAAACUCAGUUCAUCUGAUUCCAGGCUCUCUGCUCCCUACAUUUCACAGAUAUCUUGACACUCUUCCCUGAGGCUUCGCAAAGGGUUUUAUGGCCCUCCCAGCCUCAUCUUAGGAAUGAUCAGGAAGAUAUGUGUUUGAUGGGAUAAUUACUGACAGUAAAAGUUAACGUUCAACACUGGAAAGUGGCCCUUCCCUGGUGGGAGUUUCCCACUCUGACCACUGAGGCCGGUGUUGGGAGCUCCCAGGGCUGGGCAUUUAUAGCUCUGCGUGUUACAGUUCACUAAAUACUCUCACAUUCUUGAAAAGCUGGUUUUUUUCCUCUUGGGAGCGGCUGACUCUACCCUUUAUGAGAAUUCCAGUGCUGCCUGUGGUGCCCUGCCCAUUGGGAAACACCUUACUGUGUCACCCUAUAAAAGUCUGAGGCGGCCCCAGGAGGACCUCUGCAGCACAGCUCUCUCCCCGGGACGUGAGGUUCUGGCCACCCCGCCAUGAGGCUUCUAGUUGUCUCCAGGCUGCUCUGCAUCUUGCUCCUCUGCUUCUCCAUCUUCUCCACAGAAGGGAGAAAAAAUUCUAGUCAUCUCAGCAGGCCCUGGAAACGCAGACUGUGCUGUUCCCGAGUUCCUAACCCUGCCCUGACGACCCGGAAAGGGCGCCGUGUGAGGAUCUGCAGACUGUGUAACUUCAAGCCAGAGUCCCGGCUUUGGGUGGUACCUGGGGCUCUUCCACAAGUGUAAUGCUCUCCAGACAAGGCUGCAUGCGGCUGAGACCCUCAUGCCCAGUGCCCGAGACAUCCAGAAGUCUCGGGUUCUCCCAGGAUGCUCCUUUUGAAGCUGGGGCUGAUGGCAACGAUGUCAAGAGCUUUGGCCCAUGGAAGUUUCUGCCCAUGAACCACGAACCUCUUCUCUUAAAGACACAACAUUUCUUGCCUGCUGUGUUGGACUGUACUCAUAAUGCCUUUUAGAAAAACCUGAACCAGAAUUUUCUGAAAACCACAACAUGAAUA